UGCAGUAGAACGCUGAAGCUUGGUGCUUGCACCGAGCGGAUGAGUUGCGAACGGGUGAGUAACGCGUAGGUAACCUGCCUCUUAGCGGGGGAUAACUAUUGGAAACGAUAGCUAAUACCGCAUAAAAGUCAACAUUGCAUGAUGUUGACUUGAAAGGUGCAAAUGCAUCACUAAGAGAUGGACCUGCGUUGUAUUAGCUAGUUGGUGAGGUAACGGCUCACCAAGGCGACGAUACAUAGCCGACCUGAGAGGGUGAUCGGCCACACUGGGACUGAGACACGGCCCAGACUCCUACGGGAGGCAGCAGUAGGGAAUCUUCGGCAAUGGACGGAAGUCUGACCGAGCAACGCCGCGUGAGUGAAGAAGGUUUUCGGAUCGUAAAGCUCUGUUGUAAGAGAAGAACGAGUGUGAGAGUGGAAAGUUCACACUGUGACGGUAACUUACCAGAAAGGGACGGCUAACUACGUGCCAGCAGCCGCGGUAAUACGUAGGUCCCGAGCGUUAUCCGGAUUUAUUGGGCGUAAAGCGAGCGCAGGCGGUUAGAUAAGUCUGAAGUUAAAGGCUGUGGCUUAACCAUAGUACGCUUUGGAAACUGUUUAACUUGAGUGCAGAAGGGGAGAGUGGAAUUCCAUGUGUAGCGGUGAAAUGCGUAGAUAUAUGGAGGAACACCGGUGGCGAAAGCGGCUCUCUGGUCUGUAACUGACGCUGAAGCUCGAAAGCGU
rnacentral:rRNA from 1 species